UAUAUGAAAAAUACCUCAAUUACAUGGUAUCAGAGCAUCAGGUCCCCAGUCCCGAAACCCUUUUUUCCCUGAAAAUUUCCUCCCGUUCCCUGUUCUCUGUCAACGGCAAACUGUAACCUAGGAGGACUCCGUAGGGCCAUCAAAAUACCUCACAGCCAGUCUUAGAAGGAGACCCAGGUGCCGAUCGACCGCCUCUAAAAGUCCGGUGACCGAAGCCACUUCUUUGUUUCGGCCCCUAUUCCAUGCGCCAGCACGUGUCCGUGUGUUUAGUGUUUUCUGGCGACUUCCGACAGCCGAACAUCCUUCCCCAGCGUCACCCAGAUGAGGUAAUUCCAUCCCUGCAGGCUUUGUUUGGUUUUGAGGCUACGUUCUUGGCAGUGUUUGAAGAUUCUCUUUUCUCGGGUCACUAGAUCUAUUAAUAUUCGAUAGCUUGGGCUAUUUGUGGACUGUGGACAGUUAAGGUGCAAUGGCUAAGAGUGAGACCAAGUCUAUAAUCACUGAUGUAGUCCCAGUGAUGACUAAAAUCACUGAAAACAAACUUAAUGGCUUGAAUUAUUUAGAAUGGAGCAAAAUCGUUCUAAUUUAUUUGAGGAGCAUUGAUAAAGAUGAUUAUAUUACAAAAGAUCCAUCGGAUGAUGAUACUAGGCAAACUUGGUUAAGGGAAGACGCUCGUUUAUUCUUACAGCUUCAGAAUUGAAUUCACAGUGAGGUAGUGAGUCUUAUUAAUCACUAUGAGU
rnacentral:misc_RNA from 1 species